AGGCAAGCCGGGUCCGCGCGGGGUGCAGCGCCACCUGCUGGACUUCAUGCGAUGGAGCAGCAGCCUGGAGUGGCUGCGGAGUCCAAGAAGUCCUGUCCUUGAGGUUUGCUUUCAGACAACGGCCAGUCCUGACUGCAAGAACAAAAACACUAGCAGAAAUAUGCACCCGUUACGCAAACCAGCCCUUAAGGCUGCACAUGAUCCUUUCCCCACUACAGAAUGUGGGAAGGAGCUACAGCCACGCCAGUUGGACAACUAGCAGGAAGUGGAGAUUCUGAAUAAAGCAUUCGACAUUGCUACACAAAUUGAGUCAUGCAGCCCAGCAGCCACCGAGUGCCUACUGAAUUUCCUGUCACCCAGAGCCUGAAUUUCCUGUCACUGGGCAUAACGUUUUAAAAAUAUUAUUGUUUUUUUAAACCCUGGCACUGAACCAGUUUUUAUUCUUCAUCUUGACUUAAUGUAGCCAGGAGCCCACAGUUGGCUAUUUCGGCCGUGUGUCCAGAGUCUGGAAUCCCUCGUCCCCUUGGGCUUGCACUGUGGCCAG
rnacentral:lncRNA from 1 species